rnacentral:misc_RNA from 1 species
GAAGGAGUCUGAUUGGUGAUGAUAGUAAAUUGCUUAAGAGGAUUUUGGCAUUAUAAAUAGUCAUAUCAAGUUUGAGUUGUUCCAUGAGAUAGCAACUGGGAAAACAAGUACUAGAAAAACCAUGCCUGCUUUAGUGCUAACAAGGGCCCUCUUGUUAAUUGGGGAUUCUUUAGCUUUCAGAAAAGCUACACAGUUUACACGGAUAGCUCCAUCUCAAGGCAAUGUUCGCUUUUUAAGUAGCAGUGGAUCCCUCACUCUAGCUAGCCUUGGAUUGAAG